rnacentral:rRNA from 1 species
UACGGGGGGAGCAAGCAUUGUUCGGAUUUACUGGGCGUAAAGCGCACGUAGGCGGCUUUCUAAGUCGGGGGUGAAAUCCUGGAGCUCAACUCCAGAACUGCCUUCGAUACUGGAAAGCUCGAGUCCGGGAGAGGUGAGUGGAACUGCGAGUGUAGAGGUGAAAUUCGUAGAUAUUCGGAAGAACACCAGUGGCGAAGGCGGCUCACUGGACCGGUAUUGACGCUGAGGUGCGAAAGCGUGGGGAGCAAACAGGG